rnacentral:rRNA from 1 species
AGAUUGAACGCUGGCGGCAUGCCUUACACAUGCAAGUCGAACGGCAGCACGGGAGCAAUCCUGGUGGCGAGUGGCGAACGGGCGAGUAAUAUAUCGGAACGUGCCCAGUCGUGGGGGAUAACGCAGCGAAAGCUAGUGCUAAUACCGCAUACGAUCUAUGGAUGAAAGCGGGGGAUCGCAAGACCUCGCGCGAUUGGAGCGGCCGAUAUCAGAUUAGCUAGUUGGUGGGGUAAAAGCCUACCAAGGCGACGAUCUGUAGCUGGUCUGAGAGGACGACCAGCCACACUGGAACUGAGACACGGUCCAGACUCCGUACGGGAGGCAGCA